CGUCAGGAUGAACGCUAGCUACAGGCUUAACACAUGCAAGUCGAGGGGCAGCAUUGGGAGUAGCUUGCUAUUCAGAUGGCGACCGGCGCGACGGUGAGUAACGCGUAUCCAACCUUCCUGCCAGUAGGGAACAGCCCGGCGAAAGUCGGAUUAAUGCCCUAUGUUCUUCAAUGCGGACAUCUAAGUUGAAGGAAAGAUUCAUCGCUGGCAGAUGGGGAUGCGUCCGAUUAGCUUGCCGGCGGGGUAACGGCCCACCGGGGCGACGAUCGGUAGGGGUUCUGAGAGGAAGGUCCCCCACACUGGUACUGAGACACGGACCAGACUCCUACGGGAGGCAGCAGUGAGGAAUAUUGGUCAAUGGGCGUAAGCCUGAACCAGCCAAGUAGCGUGCAGGGUGACGGCCCUACGGGUUGUAAACUGCUUUUGCGGGAGGAUAAAUGACGCCACGUGUGGCGUUUUGCAGGUAUCCCGUGAAUAAGGACCGGCUAAUUCCGUGCCAGCCGCCGC
rnacentral:rRNA from 1 species